rnacentral:rRNA from 1 species
UACGUAGGUGGCAAGCGUUGUCCGGAUUUACUGGGCGUAAAGGAUGCGUAGGCGGACAUUUUAAGUCAGAUGUGAAAUACCCGAGCUUAACUUGGGUGCUGCAUUUGAAACUGGGUGUCUAGAGUGCAGGAGAGGUAAGUGGAAUUCCUAGUGUAGCGGUGAAAUGCGUAGAGAUUAGGAAGAACACCAGUGGCGAAGGUGACUUACUGGACUGUAACUGACGCUGAGGCAUGAAAGCGUGGGGAGCAAACAGG